GUGGGGAAUAUUGGACAAUGGGGGGAACCCUGAUCCAGCCAUGCCGCGUGUGUGAAGAAGGCCUUUUGGUUGUAAAGCACUUUAAGCGAGGAGGAGGCUACUCUAGUUAAUACCUAGGGAUAGUGGACGUUACUCGCAGAAUAAGCACCGGCUAACUCUGUGCCAGCAGCCGCGGUAAUACAGAGGGUGCAAGCGUUAAUCGGAUUUACUGGGCGUAAAGCGCGCGUAGGUGGCCAAUUAAGUCAAAUGUGAAAUCCCCGAGCUUAACUUGGGAAGUGCAUUCGAUACUGGUUGGCUAGAGUAUGGGAGAGGAUGGUAGAAUUCCAGGUGUAGCGGUGAAAUGCGUAGAGAUCUGGAGGAAUACCGAUGGCGAAGGCAGCCAUCUGGCCUAAUACUGACACUGAGGUGCGAAAGCAUGGGGAGCAAACAGGAUUAGAAACCCGUGUAGUCC
rnacentral:rRNA from 1 species